AAUCCAUGAUGUGGACAUAUAUUCAUCAGAUCUUUGAACGUCUCCUACAAGCAUGGAAGGUCUCGUCACCUUUCUACAUAAAUUGAUUGAUUUGCUCCUGCGGGU